rnacentral:rRNA from 1 species
GAUGAACGCUGGCGGCGUGCUUAACACAUGCAAGUCGAACGGAAAGGCCCUGCUUUUGUGGGGUGCUCGAGUGGCGAACGGGUGAGUAACACGUGAGUAACCUGCACUUGACUUUGGGAUAACUUCAGGAAACUGGGGCUAAUACCGGAUAGGAGCUCCUGCAGCACGGUGGGGGUUGGAAAGUUUCGGCGGUUGGGGCUGGACUCGCGGCUUAUCAGCUUGUUGGUGGGGUAGUGGCUUACCAAGGCUGUGACGGGUAGCCGGCCUGGGAGGUUGACCGGCGUCAUUGGGACUGAGAUACGGCCCAGACUCCUACGGGAGGCAGCAGUGGGGAAUAUUGCGCAGUGAGCGGAAGCCUGAUGCAGCAACGCCGCGUGCGGGAUGACGGCCUUCGGGUUGUAAACCGCUUUCGCCUGUGACGAAGCGUGAUUGACGGUAAUGGGUAAAGAAGCACCGGCUAACUACGUG